rnacentral:rRNA from 1 species
AUGAAAGGAGGCAAGGCGAUGGACCCUGAUUGUAUUCCCAUUGAGGUGUGGAGAGGCCUCGGAGACAUAGCGGUAGUAUGGCUAACUAAGCUUUCCAACCUCAUUUUUCGGGCAAACAAGAUGCCAGAAGAACAGAGGCAGAAUAUAUUAGUACCAAUCUUCAAGAACAAGGGGGAUGUUCAAAGUUGUACUAAUCACCGUGGAAUUAAGUUGAUGAGCCAUACAGUGAAGCUAUGGGAGAGAAUCAUUGAGCACCGCUUAAGAAGAAUGGCAAGCGUGACCAAAAAUCAGUUUGGUUUCAUGCCUGGGAGGUCGAACAUGAAGCCAUUUUCUUGGCACGACAACUUAUGA